rnacentral:lncRNA from 1 species
CUUGGUUGGUUGGCCGGGUCACCGGACACAUUUUUUAAACUAGAUAUCCCAAUAAUGAUUAUGGCCAAGUUUGGUUAAAUUUGGCCCAGUAGUUUCAGAGGAGAAGAUUUUUCUAAAAGAUUACUAAGAUUUCGAAAAAUGGUUAAAAAUUGACUAUAAAGGGCAAUAACUCCUAAAGGGGUCAACUGACCAUUUUGGUCAUGUU